rnacentral:rRNA from 1 species
AUUGAACGCUGGCGGCAUGCUUUACACAUGCAAGUCGAACGGUAACAGGUUAAGCUGACGAGUGGCGAACGGGUGAGUAAUGCAUCGGAACGUGCCCGAUCGUGGGGGAUAACGCAGCGGAAGCUGCGCUAAUACCGCAUACGAUCUGAGGAUGAAAGCGGGGGACCGUAAGGCCUCGCGCGAUCGGAGCGGCCGAUGUCAGAUUAGGUAGUUGGUGGGGUAAAGGCUCACCAAGCCAACGAUCUGUAGCUGGUCUGAGAGGACGACCAGCCACAGUGGGACUGAGACACGGCCCAGACUCCAACGGAGGGCAGCAGGGGGGAAUUUUGGACAAUGGGCGCAAGCCUGAUCCAGCCAUGCCGCGUGCAGGAUGAAGGCCUUCGGGUUGUAAACUGCUUUUGUACGGAACGAAAAGGUUUGACUUAAUACGUUGGACUCAUGACGGUACCGUAAGAAUAAGCACCGGCUAACUACGUGCCAGCCGCCGCCGUAA